GCAUGGGUUUGGAUUUGUGGCAGGUCCAAUCCCAUGGGCCUCUCACAGUGUCCCAUGCCAAAGGAAAUUUGUCACUCCCAACCAUUGCCUGUCUUUACCCGGUGGGCUUAAGGCACUGAAGUGGGUUACACAGUG